rnacentral:rRNA from 1 species
AUACGUAGGGUGCAAGCGUUAAUCGGAAUUACUGGGCGUAAAGCGUGCGCAGGCGGUUUUGUAAGACAGUGGUGAAAUCCCCGGGCUCAACCUGGGAACUGCCAUUGUGACUGCAAGGCUGGAGUGCGGCAGAGGGGGAUGGAAUUCCGCGUGUAGCAGUGAAAUGCGUAGAUAUGCGGAGGAAAACCGGUGGCGAAGGCAAUCCCCUGGGCCUGCACUGACGCUCAUGCACGAAAGCGUGGGGAGCAAACAGGAUUAGAUACCCUGGUAGUCCACGCCCUAAACGAUGUCAACUGGUUGUUGGGGAUUUAUUUUCUCAGUAACGAAGCUAACGCGUGAAGUUGACCGCCUGGGGAGUACGGCCGCAAGGUUAAAACUCAAAUGAAUUGACGGGG